rnacentral:rRNA from 1 species
GACGAACGCUGGCGGCGUGCCUAACACAUGCAAGUCGAACGAAGCAUUUGGAGCUGAUCUCUUCGGAGUGACGCACCUUAUGACUUAGUGGCGGACGGGUGAGUAACACGUGAGCAACCUGCCUUUCAGAGUGGAAUAACAGUUGGAAACGGCUGCUAAUACCGCAUAACGUCAUAGUACCGCAUGAUACCUUGACCAAAGAUUUAUCGCUGAGAGAUGGGCUCGCGUCCGAUUAGCUAGUUGGCGGGGUAACGGCCCACCAAGGCGACGAUCAGUAGCCGGACUGAGAGGUUGAACGGCCACAUUGGGACUGAGACACGGCCCAG